rnacentral:rRNA from 1 species
ACGGGAGGCAGCAGUGAGGAAUAUUGGUCAAUGGGCGCAAGCCUGAACCAGCCAAGUAGCGUGAAGGAUGACUGCCCUAUGGGUUGUAAACUUCUUUUAUAUGGGAAUAAAGUGAGCCACGUGUGGUUUUUUGUAUGUACCAUAUGAAUAAGCAUCGGCUAAUUCCGUGCCAGCAGCCGCGGUAAUACGGAAGGUCCGGGCGUUAUCCGGAUUUAUUGGGUUUAAAGGGAGCGUAGGCCGUGCUUUAAGCGUGUUGUGAAAUGUAGGCGCCCAACGUCUGCACUGCAGCGCGAACUGGAGCACUUGAGUACGCAGGAAGUAGGCGGAAUUCGUCGUGUAGCGGUGAAAUGCUUAGAUAUGACGAAGAACUCCGAUUGGGAAGCCAGCUUACUGUAGCGCCACUGACGCUGAUGCUCGAAAGCGUGGGUAUCGAACAGGAUUAGAUACCCUGGUA